GGAUGUGAUAGCUAACUGGGUGUGACAUCUGAUCACCAGGGUUGAUUCGGCUGUUCCGGCUGGCUAGGCAUGUGUCCCCUUCCUCCCUCAUCCUCCUUGUGUGUCCCUCCUGCAGCUCCAUGCUGCUGGAAGAGGAUGACUUUCCCUGCUACAGGAGAACUGGUCUUUGGUGAAGCGCGUAUGAGCAGCUGUGCUCCCCUUAGAGAACCUCCAAACAAGCUCUCAAGAACUAGCCAAAAAACACAUUUUAAGAAAACAUUUUUUUAAGAUUUUAUUUAUUUGUCUGAGAGGUAGAGUUACAGGCAGUG
rnacentral:snRNA from 1 species